UCCCAGUAUGUGUGGCCCAGUCCUCCCAGUACAUCCCAGUGCUCCCAGUACCCCCAGUAUGUGGGGCCCAGUGCUCCCAGUAUGGCCCAGUGCUCCCAGUGACCCCAGUAUGCAGGGCCCAGUGCUCCCAGUAUGUCCCAGUGCUCCCAGUGACCCCAGUAUGUGGGGCCCAGUGCUCCCAGUACAGCCCAGUGCUCCCAGUAACCCCAGUAUGUGGGGCCCAGUGCUCCCAGUAACCCCAGUAUGUGGGGCCCAGCCCUCCCAGUAUGUCCCAGUGCUCCCAGUAUCUGUGGCUCAGUCCUCCCAGUACAUCCCAGUGCUCCCAGUACCCACCAGUAUGUGGGGCUCAGUGCUCCCAGUGACCCCAGUAUGUGUGGACCAGUGCUCCCAGUAUGGUCCAGUGCUCCCAGUAACCCCAGUAUGUGUGACCCAGCGCCUCCCAGUACACGUGGCCCAGUGCUCACCACUCCCAGUGCCCCCCAGUACACACAGCCCAGUGUUCCCAGUGCUCCCAGUACCGAGGAGCCCACUGCUCCCAGCGCCCAGCCCCCCCUCCCAGUGCCCCCCAGUACCACACUGAAUCUCUUACUGGUGCCACUGGUCUUUAUUGAGCCGCAGCGGGGGAGGGGCGGCCGU
rnacentral:lncRNA from 1 species